rnacentral:lncRNA from 1 species
UGGAGAGGGAGUGUGGUCUAGAACCCGUAGUGUAUUCUCUGGAGAGAGGAGUGUGGUCUAGAACCCAGUAGUGUAUUCUCUGGAGAGAGGAGUGUGGUCUAGAACCCGGUAGUGUAUUCUCUGGAGAGAGGAGGAGUGUGGUCUAGAACCCGGUAAGUGUAGUCUCUGGAGAGAGGAGGAGUGUGGUCUAAAACCCAGUAGUGUAUUCUCUGGAGAGAGGAGUGUGGUCUAGAACCCGGUAGUGUAUUUCUGGAGAGAGGAGUGUGGCUAGAACCCAGUAGUGUAUUCUC